rnacentral:lncRNA from 1 species
CAGUGACCGCCCACCCGCACCUGCUGAACAGCAAGGUCCACGGAGUAGGAACUGAACGUGUCAGGGACUAUGUGUGGCACUGUAUGGCAAGUCUCCAAGACUGGGAAGCACCGCUUUACAUAGUCCUCCAAAGUCAUUCAUAUGAAAAGAAUAAACAUCCACAUUCCUUUUCUUUGUCCUUGACAAAUAUUUAUGGAAUGCCGGAAAUUAUGGAAAAACAAUUCCAAUGUUACGAAGUCCAAAGAACUGGAAUGAGAAAACUCCUCACGGCACAUUAUGCUGCAUGGAAUGACAAUCAUCCUCGGGGAAUUAGGGCAGCAUCUUCUACCACUUUUAAAGGCUACCACGAGACGGGGUGGAAAUGCCAAAAAUGGCACCUCAUCUCUGAUCAAAGAUUCAGAGCAUGCAAGUGUUGAUGCCAUGAAGAGUCCCAGCCUUCUCCCCACUAAAAUACCAGGCAACGCUUAGCAGCUGCUGUCCUAACAGGCUACUUUCUGCAACUGCUGACGCAGUGGAUUCCAAAGCAUGAGUUGGGCUGCUUUUGAAUAGUGGGAGACGGGAGUUUACCCCGAUCACAGAAACCAUACCAACUGAAAGACAAAUCAGCAUCUUGCUGGACGACCCCUCACAGAGCUCCUAGAUCCUUGAAGUGUGAACUUCAGCAGCUGAGAGGUAACAAUUGUACACAAAUCACACUAUCAUGC